AAAUAUUCCUGUACCUCUUUUUACUGCGAUGGGGGGACGGAGAAGGCUAGAGCAGCACGGCGUUGGUUGUCCGUGUUUAAGGUCGUAGGCUGGUGUCUUAGGUAAAUCCGGGAUGCUAAGGCUGAGAACUGAUGACGAGUGUUCCUCGGAACAUGAAGUGCUUGAUGCCAUGCUUCCAAGAAAAGCCUCUAAGCUUCAGGUAAAAAGAGACCGUACUCCAAACCGAUACAGGUGAUCAGGUAGAGAAUACCAAGGCGCUUGAGAGAACUCGGGUGAAGGAACUAGGCAAAAUGGCACCGUAACUUCGGGAGAAGGUGCACCGCUUUUGGUGAUGGGAUUUACUCCCUAAGCUGAGGGCGGUCGAAGAUACCAGGCCCCUGCAACUGUUUAUUAAAAACACAGCACUCUGCAAACACGUAAGUGGACGUAUAGGGUGUGACGCCUGCCCGGUGCCGGAAGGUUAAUUGAUGGGGUUAGCGCAAGCGAAGCUCUUGAUCGAAGCCCCGGUAAACGGCGGCCGUAACAAUAACGGUCCUAAGGUAGCGAAAUUCCUUGUCGGGUAAGUUCCGACCUGCACGAAUGGCGUAAUGAUGGGGGCGCUGUCUCCACCCGAGACUCAGUGAAAUUGAAAUCGCGGUUAAGAUGCCGUGUACCCGCGGCUAGACGGAAAGACCCCGUGAACCUUUACUAUAGCUUUGCACUGAACUUUGAACCUAUCUGUGUAGGACAGGUGGGAGGCUUUGAAGUCGAGACGCUAGUUUCGAUGGAGCCGUCCUUGAAAUACCACCCUGGUAUGUUUGAGGUUCUAACGUCGGCCCCUUAUCGGGGUUACGGACAGUGUAUGGUGGGUAGUUUGACUGGGGCGGUCUCCUCCCAAAGAGUAACGGAGGAGCACGAAGGUGUGCUAAUCAUGGUCGGAAAUCAUGAGGUUAGUGUAAAGGCAAAAGCACGCUUGACUGCGAGACAGACAUGUCGAGCAGGUACGAAAGUAGGUCUUAGUGAUCCGGUGGUUCUGUAUGGAAGGGCCAUCGCUCAACGGAUAAAAGGUACUCCGGGGAUAACAGGCUGAUACCGCCCAAGAGUUCACAUCGACGGCGGUGUUUGGCACCUCGAUGUCGGCUCAUCACAUCCUGGGGCUGAAGCCGGUCCCAAGGGUAUGGCUGUUCGCCAUUUAAAGUGGUACGCGAGCUGGGUUUAGAACGUCGUGAGACAGUUCGGUCCCUAUCUGCCGUGGGCGUUGGAGAUUUGAGAAGAGUUGUUCCUAGUACGAGAGGACCGGAAUGAACGAACCUCUGGUGUUCGGGUUGUCAUGCCAAUGGCAUUGCCCGGUAGCUACGUUCGGACGGGAUAACCGCUGAAAGCAUCUAAGCGGGAAGCCUCCUUCAAGAUGAGAUCUCCCUGGGACUUUAAGUCCCCUAAAGAGCCGUUGAAGACUACGACGUUGAUAGGUUGGGUGUGGAAGCGCAGCGAUGCGUUGAGCUAACCAAUACUAAUUGCUCGUGCGGCUUGACCG
rnacentral:rRNA from 1 species